UACGAAGGGGGCUAGCGUUGCUCGGAAUCACUGGGCGUAAAGGGUGCGUAGGCGGGUUUUUAAGUUGGUGUGAAAUCUCCCGGCUCAACUGGGAGGGUGCGCCGAAUACUGAGAGGCUAGAGUGCGGGAGAGGAAGUGGAAUUCCUGGUGUAGCGGUGAAAUGCGUAGAUAUCAGGAGGAACACCGGUGGUGUAAACGGCUUUCUGGACCGUAACUGACGCUGAUGCACGAAAGCGUGGGUAGCAAACAGG
rnacentral:rRNA from 1 species